GACUAUGUGUUUCUAUUCCAACCGAUUCUCUCUCCCCUUUCUCUUUGUUUCUCUCACUCUUUAGUCAACUUUUUAGGGUUUGAUAUUGUGGGAAUUUUUAGACAUUCAUCAAUGGCAAAAAUUAUGGAUAUGGAUGAGGAUAUCAACUAUCAAGGAUGUUUUCGCUGAGUAUAAUUAGGUAUUGUUUUCAUCUCUCUUUUUUUUUUUUCAGCUGACAAAACUCUGUUUCAGCUGAAGCCGAAUCAUUCAACACCGAAAGCCUACCCGCCGGUGGUGGUCGAGAAGGAGAAGCUUCAACGACGUUGUUUCCCGGUUCACAGAUCAUUAAGGCAUUCCAGAAAUAUCAUGCUGAUCACCCUUUUGGCAAAUUUUUCGGCAAGUGCAUUGAGCUCAAAAUUAAACUUGAUCGCUGCUUCAGCGCAGGAGUUAAUUACUCUCCAUAUUUUAUGUAUAUAAAAGUCUUGAACAUCUUUUUCUUUGGCUUUGCAUAUUCUCACAGAAACCUUUUUGGUAAGAAUCAAAAAGUAAACGUCUCACUUGAGAGGGGACAGAUCGACUCUAUAUUUCGGAUAAAUUACACAGUCCCAUGGAUUGAAGAUGAUGAUAAGCGUACUCAACAAUCAAUUAUGAUUCAGAAUUCAAGAACUCCUGGUAUUUUGGUAAAUGGUAAUCAACCCGACAAUAGUAACAUAACCAUUGGCCGUGUAACAGGCUAACAGCUGGCAUUGAAUUCAGCAGGCCUAUAAGACCAAAGUGGAGCGGAACUGCUGGGCUUACAUUUCAGCGUGCUGGUGCUCAUGAUGAAAAAGGGGAUCAAGGAUUUCUAUAGCAGUCCUCUUACUGCGAGUGGGAAUACUCAUGAUAAUAUGUUGCUUGCCAAAUGCGAAUGUGCCUACACUGGUGAUUUAGGAUCCUCCAUGUUGGUCUUCAGCAUGGAAUAAGGUCUUCCCGUCUUGCCAGAGUUUGGACACCUAAUCUAAAUAAAGGUGUUGGGGAUGAAUAAACUGGACCGUCCUGACUGUCUUCUCUGUUUCAACAAUAUGAUUAUAGUAACAUUGCAGCGUAAAUCUCUUCCUGUUGUUGAAUGUAUUGACAAGAGUAAAUAACUUCACUGGAGUUGCAUACAAAGAUGAUCCUACAAUUAUGGCUUGGGAGCUUAUGAAUGAGCCGAGAUGCCCUUCAGAUUUAUCUGGAAAAAUUCUUCAGGACUGGAUCACUGAAAU